GAUGAACGCUGGCGGCGUGCUUAACACAUGCAAGUCGAACGAUGAAGCCCAGCUUGCUGGGUGGAUUAGUGGCGAACGGGUGAGUAACACGUGAGUAACCUGCCCUUAACUCUGGGAUAAGCCUGGGAAACUGGGUCUAAUACCGGAUAGGAGCGUCCACCGCACGGAGGGUGUUGGAAAGAUUUAUCGGUUUUGGAUGGACUCGCGGCCUAUCAGCUUGUUGGUGAGGUAAUGGCUCCCCAAGGCGACGACGGGUAGCCGGCCUGAGAGGGUGACCGGCCACCAUGGGCCUGAGACACGGCCCAGACUCCUACGGGACGCAGCAGUGGGGAAUAUUGCACAAUGGGCGCAAGCCUGAUGCAGCGACGCCGCGUGAGGGAUGCCGGCCUUCGGGUUGUAAACCUCUUUCAGUAGGAAAGAAGCGAACGUGACGGUACCUGCAGAGGAAGCACCGGCUAACUACGUG
rnacentral:rRNA from 1 species